UACGUAGGUGGCAAGCAUUGCUCGGAUUUAUUGGGCGUAAAGCGCGCGUAGGUGUCUUUGUAAGUCCAUCAUUAAAGGUCUCUGCUCAACGGAGAAGAUGUGAUGGAGACUACAAGGAUUUGAGAAAAGUAGAGGUAAGCGGAACUUGUGGAGUAGGAGUGAAAUCCGUUGAUAUCACAAGGAACACCAAUGGCGAAGGCGGCCACCUGGACAGGUAUUGACGCUGAGGUGCGAAAGUGUGGGGAGCAAA
rnacentral:rRNA from 1 species